UACGUAUGGUGCAAGCGUUAUCCGGAUUUACUGGGUGUAAAGGGAGCGCAGGCGGCGCGCCAAGUCUGAUGUGAAACCCCGGGGCUCAACCCCGGGCAUGCAUUGGAAACUGGCGGGCUGGAGUGCCGGAGAGGUAAGCGGAAUUCCUAGUGUAGCGGUGAAAUGCGUAGAUAUUAGGAGGAACACCAGUGGCGAAGGCGGCUUACUGGACUGUAACUGACGUUGAGGCUCGAAAGCGUGGGGAGCAAACAGG
rnacentral:rRNA from 1 species